rnacentral:rRNA from 1 species
UAGAGUUUGAUCCUGGCUCAGGAUGAACGCUGGCGGCGUGCCUAAUACAUGCAAGUCGAACGCGAAGCCUGGUUUCGACUGGGUGGAGAGUGGCGGACGGGUGAGUAACACAUGGCUGACCUGCCCUUCAGAGGGGGACAACUGCUGGAAACGGCAGCUAAUACCCCAUACGCUCGUGGUGGUUAGGGGACCACGAGGAAAGGCUGAGGUGCUGAGGGAGGGGGCUGUGGCCCAUCAGCUAGUUGGUAGGGUAAUGGCCUACCAAGGCGAGGACGGGUAGGGGGCCUGAGAGGAUGACCAGCCAGAAUGGGACUGAGACACGGCCCAUACUCCUACGGGAGGCAGCAAUCAGGAAUUUUGCGCAAUGGACGAAAGUCUGACGCAGCGACGCCGCGUGAAGGAUGAAGGCCUUCGGGUUGUAAACUUCUUUUAUAGAGGAACAAGUUCUGAGUGUACUCUAUGAAUAAGGUACUGCAAACUACGUGCCAGAAGCAUCGGUGAUACGUAGGUACCAAACAUUAUCCGGAUUUACUGGGCGUAAAGAGAUGCGUAGGCGUCUUGAUAAGUUCCGCGUUAAAUCUACCGGCUCAACCGGUAAACUGCGUGGAAAACUAUCUCGAUUGAGUUAGCUAGGGGAAGACGGAAUUCUCGGUGUAGCAGUGAAAUGCGUUGAUAUCGAGAAGAACACCAAUGGCGAAGGCAGUCUUCUGGGGCUUAACUGACGCUAAGGCUCGAAAGCGUGGGGAGCAAAACGGAUUAGAUACCCGUGUAGUCCACGCCCUAAACAAUCUCCGCUAGUUGUCGGGACUGGCUUGGUUUUUCUUCGGAAAGGAUUAGGCAGUUUCGGUGACGUAGUU